UUCCCUUUCCCCUCGGUUUUCAUCUGUACAAGACGUUGAGUUUGAGCUCCAUAACUGUGGAAAGAAUGGCGACUUCUCUAGCCCGCAUCUCCAGAAAAGCCCUAACCUCCACGAUCUCCCCGCACCGCUACCUCCUUAAUCACACCUUAUCCGCUGAGGCAUCAACCAAAUCGAUAACGCCGUCGCCCGAUCGAGUCAAGUGGGACUAUCGAGGUCAGAGGCAGUUAAUCCCAUUGGGCCAGUGGCUCCCCAAGGUCGCUGUCGAUGCCUAUGUGGCACCCAAUGUCGUCCUAGCGGGUCAGGUCACUGUCUGCGAUGGAGCGUCAAUUUGGAGUGGAUCGGUUCUUCGGGGCGAUCUCAACAAGAUCACAGUCGGGUUCUGCUCUAAUGUUCAAGAGCGUUGUGUAAUUCAUGCCGCCUGGAACUCGCCUACAGGACUACCAGCAGAGACAUCCAUUGAAAGGUUUGUGACAAUUGGUGCAUACAGUCUCUUGCGGUCCUGCACAAUUGAGCCAGAAUGCAUCAUCGGACAGCACUCUAUCCUUAUGGAAGGUUCUUUGGUGGAGACACACUCAAUUCUUGAAGCAGGGUCUGUAGUUCCCCCAGGGAGGAGAAUUCCAACUGGCGAACUUUGGGCGGGAAAUCCAGCAAGGUUUGUAAGGGCUUUAACACAUGAAGAGACUUUAGAAAUCCCUAAACUUGCUGUUGCAAUUAACGAUCUCAGCAAAAACCAUUUCUCAGAGUUUCUCCCUUACUCCACAGUAUAUUUAGAGGUUGAGAAUUUGAAGAAGAAGUUAGGUAUUUCUAUCUGAUGCUUUUCACUGUCAUCUUUCUAUGCACUGGCUAAUUGCAAAGAAAUAAAUAGCUCGAGAACACAUAAAGCAAGCUUCCAUGUUUCUAUUGUUUGUAUUUGAUGUUGUUGGCUGUUGAAAGUGCUGGUUGUGAAUUUCAACCAAAUGGGUGAUACACUGGAGGCACUCGUCAAUUGUUUUUGGUUUGCAUGCUCUACGCAUUAUUCCUAAAGCUUACUGUAUUUGGCUUUGUUCAGCCUCACUUGAUGUUGGCUAUCAAGAAAUUGUUCAUUUUUUUUCCGUCAUAUUGGAAAAGAUACUCCAGUUUUGUAGGGGAAACAACAUCGCGGUAUUUAUGUUACCAAAUCAAAACAACUAAUAUGGGAGUAAAUUAGUGUCCCUUAUUAAUAUAAGGGUCUUCUAAUAUCGUUUCUCUUUGUUAUGGUAAGAAUCAUAUCUGCAAAAAAUCAUAUCUACAAAAUUUAUUUAUGGUUAAUUGCCAUUUAAUUUUAUUGAAUUAUAUCCAUUUUUGCGAUAGUGAUUCUCACUCCCUUUUGAAUAGCAUUAGGCAUAUAAAUGGAACUCUUAUUUUGAGUUGCUAGCAUUCUUAUUGUCAGGUAAUGGGAGCCGACCCGCAUUGAAAGACCAAAGAAGCAGUUUCACUCGUACUAAUCGGCAUUGCUAGUGUAUGUAAUAGGUAGCUGAGAAAAUUUCAGCUAAGAAGCAUCAAUAUAGCAAAGUCAAUGUUAGAAGUGUACCUCUUUUUGUUCAACCUAUUAAUCAAUUUGACUUG
rnacentral:misc_RNA from 1 species